GAAGCCGUUAUUUCAGGAUAACCAAGAAACGCAGCUACAGUUUGCACGUCUAUCAGGGUGCACUAUGCGCCCUGGAUUACGUUUCACAUGAAGAUUUUCUCCUGUACAGUCGUUUAAUUCCUCGGUAGAAGAAACAUUACCGCUGGUAGCUAUACGAGAUGCAUGAGGGAUAACAACCAAGGAAAUUCUAAUGACUGUUAUCCCGUUCAACAUGAGUUGCCGCGAGACGCCGGAUUCUUGCGUCUUGGUUAACUAAUUGCGGCAUUAGUGCACCCUUAUAAAAAAACCCUGGGUUAGCUGCGUGUUAUUUAAUUGGACGGCAAUGGAGAAUUUUCUCGACCAUGAACUCCGGACACGGUCCUAGGUGGCGGUGUCUUAGGCGGGGAAAGCCUUCCCGUUCUAAAUAACAGCUCGCACAUUAGCUUGCAGAUGCCGCCAAAUGGGGAGCACCUUCCGGAGGAAGCGCGAGGAUGGCCAUAAGUCCGAUUGGCCCUUCCGGCUUCUUCCAUGGAAGCAAAUCCUAUGAUUUUGACAAUCCUCAAGGAGGCAGGUCGAUAAGUUGGAACUUGGAUGUCGGCUUUUGGUCUGCUAGAUGGAUGCAAUUUGAAUUUAAGAACUAGGAAAUUAACUUAUAAACGCGUUUAAAUCGUGUGUAUUACUUGCCUUUAAUGUUGUUAUUGUGCGGAAUAAAAACAUUUAUUUUCGAGAA